UCCUACGGGAGGCAGCAGUGGGGAAUAUUGGACAAUGGGGGCAACCCUGAUCCAGCAAUGCCGCGUGUGUGAAGAAGGCCUGAGGGUUGUAAAGCACUAUCAGUGGGGAGGAGGCUUUAUUGGUUAAGAGCUGAUGAAGUGGACGUUACCCACAGAAGAAGCACCGGCUAACUCCGUGCCAGCAGCCGCGGUA
rnacentral:rRNA from 1 species